GUGUGUGUGUGUGUGUGUGUGUGUUUACGUGUGUGUGUUUACGUGUGUGUGUGUGUGUGUGUGUGUGUGUGUGUGUGUGUGUGUGUGUGUGUGUGUGUGGUCUCUGAAAGCAUCACCCAGCAGACUGGUGUUUACAUCCCUGUGUGUUAAGGGCCGGUGGAACCGGAUCAGCUCCGGUUCUGACUCGUUUACUGGGCCGAGAAGAAAGAUUCAUCCAGGUCUAAACCAGGAACCGCAGUCUAAAAGUUGGAUGUUGAAGAUGUUUUUAUGGAAUAAAAUCUGAUUUUGGAGUCGAGGACAGAAGUCCAAUGGAAAAAAAAACCCUCAGAUCUGUUUCUGUAGCUUCAUCUCUGACACGCCCCCGAACCUUCACACGCCCACUCAGAAUCUGAACUGUUUUGUUUCCCGCUCCUGAUGUUUCUGUCACUGAGCUUCACUUCACCUCCAACUCCACACAAGGAAGCCUUCCAGACCAGGAGCUGUAGGGAAUGACGAGGCGUGCCUGCAGACCGGCUCAGCGCUGAGCCCGCGUGUCGUUAGGGGGGUGAAGGCUGGAUCCGGUGCAAUAUCUGUGUUUUUAAUCGUGGUGAAAGCAUGAUGUCAUC
rnacentral:lncRNA from 1 species